GAUGAACGCUGGCGGCGUGCCUAAUACAUGCAAGUCGAGCGAACAGACGAGGAGCUUGCUCCUCUGACGUUAGCGGCGGACGGGUGAGUAACACGUGGAUAACCUACCUAUAAGACUGGGAUAACUUCGGGAAACCGGAGCUAAUACCGGAUAAUAUAUUGAACCGCAUGGUUCAAUAGUGAAAGACGGUUUUGCUGUCACUUAUAGGUGGAUCCGCGCCGCAUUAGCUAGUUGGUAAGGUAACGGCUUACCAAGGCAACGAUGCGUAGCCGACCUGAGAGGGUGAUCGGCCACACUGGAACUGAGACACGGUCCAGACUCCUACGGGAGGCAGCAGUAGGGAAUCUUCCGCAAUGGGCGAAAGCCUGACGGAGCAACGCCGCGUGAGUGAUGAAGGUCUUCGGAUCGUAAAACUCUGUUAUUAGGGAAGAACAAAUGUGUAGGUAACUAUGCACGUCUUGACGGUACCUAAUCAGAAAGCCACGGCUAACUACGUG
rnacentral:rRNA from 1 species